rnacentral:lncRNA from 1 species
GUGUUUCUAAAAACAAAAUAACAUGCUUUUACGCGAUGCAAUACAUAUUUGUAGCGUCGUAAAUUUCGUAACAAAAAUUGGUAACAAUUUGAUCAUUACACAACCAAGAGCAAAACGUUAUAUACGAUGCAUCUAAUGCACACAAGCCUACAGGUAUCGUCUGUCUCCGAGAUUUGAAAUCACCAUUUUACGACCCGAUUUCCAGGCUAGGGCUAAGGUAUGUUUCAUGCCCUGGAAGUUCACGAUUUUGUUGCCUAAGAAGCGGCCGAUCAAGCAUAAGGCAUAUUUCCGCGAUGGCGGCAGGGGGGGAGAUCUCUUUCAAUGAGAGCUCCUCAUCAUCACUAUCCUAGAGGGAUAUCCCUUGAACCACCACCGUGACAAGGUCACGAUCCGUCUCAAUGGGGGAUGUGGUUUCCGCAACUGGAUGCGGAGUGUACGGUCUCGUCGGCGCAACACUUAUGUGCGUCUCACUCGCUCCCUGCUUAUCUUGGCCGGCUUGACUCGUCAGUUUAGGAGGCAUGGUGAUUCCAAGGUGGAUGGGUGUGGGUUCGGGAUGGGAGAGAAAACGGUAGUGACGGAGGAGCUAAAGAGCGACGGCUGUAAUAAGUGGCGGCGGUGAAAUAUGGGUAAAAGAGGGUGACGGUGAUGGUGUAUAUGAAUGAUGAUGGUGAUGAUCGAUGAUGAUGAUGAUGGUGGCGGCGAAAAAACCCUACUGCAAAGGGUAGAAGACUCCUAUUUUUUAGGAGAAAAUCAACCCAACGGCUGAGGGGAAUAACAUACUUAACACUCGAGUUGAUGUUGGAGAUUUAAAAAAAGUUGUUAUUUUUUACUUGAAUCCCAUUAACUAGCUUUCAGCUUUUUCUUCUUUGUUAUUAUAAAGUCACAGACUCCGCAAUAUAUGGCUGUCGAAGUUCUAUUGCUUCCAAACAUGGUGGCCGGCGACAGUCCAAAAUCGAAGAAGAUGAAGUCGAUUGAAAGAUGGACUAAUUGCUUCCUGCUAAGUAAUUGAGAGCUUAAGUCAUUUCCAUUCAUAAAAUUCAUUUAAUAAUUUUAAUUAUAUUUAUAUUGCCA